AAUGUUCUGAGGCCCUGAAGUAUGUGUUGGCCGCCUAGCUUACUCUUGAGCUAUGGGAGCAGACCUGGCAGCUGCAAGGAAACUUCAGCGGGGAUGGAAACCGAGGGGUGUGUCCACCUCUGCCUGACCUUAAGUUUGCUUCUCAGGAUCAACAACCCAGGAGUUGGGGGGUCCCUUCACUGGGUGGUCAUGGCCUUGCCACGCCACCCAGCCUUCCUCAAAGCAGAGUCCCUGAAGCUUCUGCUCUGACGUCAGCACCAAGACAGCCAGGAGCCCUUUCUCCCAGACUGAGUGUGCUCUUGCCUGAGAUACACUAAAUCGAACAAGUCAGCGCUGUGUCAGAGCCGCCCAAGAACUCAACACUAGAAGAAGCAGCCACACACCUGCUGGGCAGGAGCAAAUCGUAUCUGGUUGUUUUGGAUGGAUGGCUCCCUAUGAAGAAGAUCCAGGGUCAUCACUGUGGAAGUUGAUGUUUUCUUCCUGCUGGUCAGUGUAGGUGCCCUUGGGGACAAUU